CACGUAGGGGGCAAGCGUUGUCCGGAUUUAUUGGGCGUAAAGAGCGUGUAGGCGGUCCGGUAAGUCAGCUGUGAAAGUCAAGGGCUCAACCCUUGAAAGCCGGUUGAUACUGUCGGGCUAGAGUCCGGAAGAGGCGAGUGGAAUUCCCGGUGUAGCGGUGAAAUGCGCAGAUAUCGUAAGGAAGACCAGUGGCGAAGGCGGGUCUCUGGACAGUUCCUGACGCUGAGGCACGAAGGUCAGGGGAGCAAACGGG
rnacentral:rRNA from 1 species